rnacentral:rRNA from 1 species
AUACGGAGGGUGCGAGCGUUAAUCGGAAUUACUGGGCGUAAAGCGCGCGUAGGCGGUUAAAUAAGUCUGAUGUGAAAGCCCUGGGCUUAACCUGGGAAUGGCAUUGGAUACUGUUUAGCUAGAGUGCAGGAGAGGAGAGUGGAAUUCUCGGUGUAGCGGUGAAAUGCGUAGAUAUCGGGAGGAACACCAGUGGCGAAGGCGGCUCUCUGGACUGACACUGACGCUGAGGUGCGAAAGCGCGGGUAGCAAACAGGAUUAGAUACCCCAGUAGUCC